rnacentral:rRNA from 1 species
GAUGAACGCUGGCGGCGUGCCUAAUACAUGCAAGUCGAGCGAACAGACGAGGAGCUUGCUUCUCUGACGUUAGCGGCGGACGGGUGAGUAACACGUGGAUAACCUACCUAUAAGACUGGGAUAACUUCGGGAAACCGGAGCUAAUACCGGAUAAUAUUUUGAACCGCAUGGUUCAUUAGUGAAAGACGGUUUUGCUGUCACUUAUAGAUGGAUCCGCGCCGCAUUAGCUAGUUGGUAAGGUAACGGCUUACCAAGGCAACGAUGCGUAGCCGACCUGAGAGGGUGAUCGGCCACACUGGAACUGAGACACGGUCCAGACUCCUACGGGAGGCAGCAGUAGGGAAUCUUCCGCAAUGGGCGAAAGCCUGACGGAGCAACGCCGCGUGAGUGAUGAAGGUCUUCGGAUCGUAAAACUCUGUUAUUAGGGAAGAACAAAUGUGUAAGUAACUAUGCACGUCUUGACGGUACCUAAUCAGAAAGCCACGGCUAACUACGUG